AAGUGUUACAGCUCUUUUAGAAUUUGUCUAGCAGGCUUUCCAGGGUUUUGCUGGAAAGCCUCU
ensembl:snRNA U7 U7 small nuclear RNA